AGUAACACGUAGACAACUUACCUCAUAGAGGGGGAUAGCCCGCCGAAAGGCGGGGUAAUACCGCGUAAGAUAUUUCUAGGGCAUCCCGGGAAUAAGAAACAUCCGCAAGGAUGGCUAUGAGAGGGGUCUGCGGCCUAUCAGCUAGUUGGUGAGGUAACGGCUCACCAAGGCAACGACGGGUAUCCGGCCUGAAAGGGUGAUCGGACACACUGACACUGAGACACGGGUCAG
rnacentral:rRNA from 1 species